rnacentral:rRNA from 1 species
UACGAGUGCCCCAAGCGUUAUCCGGAAUCAUUGGGCGUAAAGGGUGUGCAGGCGGUUGUGUUUGUCUUUUGUUAAAGCUCUCGGCUUAACCGGGAAGAUGCAAAAGAAACGGCACAACUAGAGGAUGCGAGAGGUGAAUGGAACUCAUAGUGUAGGGGUGAAAUCCGUUGAUAUUAUGGAGAACACCAAAAGCGAAGGCAAUUCACUGGCGCAUUCCUGACGCUGAGACACGAAAGCGUGGGUAGCGAAUGGG